rnacentral:rRNA from 1 species
UAAGGAAUAUUGGACAAUGGUCGGAAGACUGAUCCAGCCAUGCCGCGUGAAGGACGAAGGCGCUCUGCGUUGUAAACUUCUUUUGUAUGGGAACAAAACCUCCGAUGCGUCGGAGACUGAGGGUACCAUAAGAAUAAGCACCGGCUAACUCCGUGCCAGCAGCCGCGGUAAUACGGAGGGUGCAAGCGUUAUCCGGAAUCACUGGGUUUAAAGGGUGCGUAGGCGGUUAAUUAAGUCAGUUGUGAAAUUCCCUAGCUUAACUAGCGGGACUGCGAUUGAUACUGGUUAACUUGAAUCAGGUUGAGGUAGGCGGAAUGUGACAUGUAGCGGUGAAAUGCAUAGAUAUGUCAUAGAACACCGAUUGCGAAGGCAGCUUGCUGGACCUGUAUUGACGCUGAGG